ACCGCCGUCACCAUCGAGCCUAGAGAGGAAUCGUUACCGGAGCUGAGUUACCGUCGACCUACAAUCUUCAACCGCCGCCAUCGUCUACAUAUCGACCUCUUGAUUGUCCCUUCUUCUCUCGCGGCUGGUAAGCUUCGUUCUCUUCUAAUUUGAUUUGGGGAUUGGGCUUUCUAAUAUUGACCCUGAGGAAUCUGGAAAGGGAGAAGGGUCGGGGUUGCAGGGCUUGACGAUCGAGCUACAUUUAGUCUCGCUGCUCCCUCAACGAGAAGGUUUUCUCUUUACUGUUGUUGCAUUUUACAUUUUUUUUUUAGCUUUGAUUGAAACUAUGGAUUACACUACAUUUUAGUUUUCUCAAACCAAGAGGACCACUUUAUCUCUUUGUCUCAAGACUGGUCUUUAAAAUCUCAACCCAAAUUAUACAUUUUAAGCAAUAUGUUCCGUCUUCUGUAUCAAACAUUUUUUAAAAUCAUCAAGAGAACAGUUGCUUUGGGUUUACUUCUAUUUUAAAUGGAGAGGUAAAUAUCGAAUCAAUUAGCGUUUUGGUUUUUAUAAACGGUAUCCUAAUAAUAACUUUUGACCGUAAGGCAGGUCAAGGCAGUGCAUCUAAAAGCAGGAUUAAGAGCAGUAGAACUGCUUCUUAGGUGGUGGACUACACAGAUAUAGCAUAUCGAUAUGUUAUGCUACACUAUCAGAAGGAAUUAAUUGGGUCAAUGACAUAUUUUGUGUUAUUGUUCAUAUGACAUUUUUUCUAUUUGCUCUAGUUCCAAUUGUGGAAUGCCACUGCUGCACUAUCCCAAAAGGAUAAAAACGUAUCAUAUAUUUAUAGUGAGAUGUGUAAGAUAUGCAUUUUUGUUAAGAACUUGUUCCGUUAAUUCACUUAAUUGUUAAACACUGUUUCGUGAUAUAAGUUUUGUAACGCAAGUGCUUUUCUGUUUAAAUUGAUAUGUGAUUGGUUCAACUGUGUGCAAGGUGUACUGUGGUACAGUUGAACCCAAGAUAUGUGAAUAGAAGCUACUGUCAGAUGCUCGCUCAGGCUGUACUAUGGCACAGCUGAACCCAAGAUUGUGAACGAAAGCUACUUUCAAAUGCUCAUGGAUGAGCUUGAAGGUGAAAGGGAGUUGAGGAAGAGCGUUGUGGAACAUGUAGAUAUGAUCAAGAUACUAGGUU